rnacentral:tRNA from 1 species
GACACUUUGGCCGAGUGGUUAAGACGGCGGCCUGGUAAGCCGUUGGGCUCUGUCCGCGAGGGUACGAAUCUCUUAGGUGUCG